ensembl:lncRNA
GAAAAAUUGUCACCUCUGGCCUCAGAUGGCCUUAUCCUGGUAUCCUCCUAUGGACCUACUUUUUACAAUUCUUGUCAGAUUUCAGCUCCACUCUGACAGAAGACUGAUGAAACCUACUGGAACAGUGACUCAAUUCCUCCAACAGGGCCACACCUACUCCAAGAAGGCCACACCUUUUAACAGUACCACUCCCUGGACCAAGCAUACUCAAACCAGCACAGGUUCAUUGUGCAACAGGAGAAAAGAACCAUGAUCCCACCAUUAAGAAGUAGCCAUCAUUCCACCGUUUCAGUGGUUGUUCCUAUAGCCUCAACACUAGCCUAUAAGGUCUCAAACACUAGCAUGACCUGUAAAGCUCAAAGCUUCAUCCCAUGGAUCCCAGCUUCUUAAACCUUGGGUUGUGACCUCAAAUGAAGUUGCAUAACAGAAUGUGGCAGUAGCAAACCUAAAUCUAAUUCAGAAUCAGGCAGCUUGGCCUGGGUUUUGGCAGUGCUUGCUCAUUGCAUCUCACAGCCUCACUCUAUUUUGGUUCUGAGCACAAGAUACUGUCGAGCUAUGCUGUGCCAGCUAAUGCAGCCUAGGCCAUCCCAACUCAGAU